rnacentral:tRNA from 1 species
GCGGAUGUGGCGGAACUGGUAGACGCGCAUGGUUUAGGACCAUGUGCCGCAAGGCUUGGGGGUUCGAGUCCCUUCAUCCGCA